UACGUAGGGUGCAAGCGUUUAAUCGGAAUUACUGGGCGUAAAGCGUGCGCAGGCGGUUGGGCAAGACCGAUGUGAAAGCCCCGGGCUUAACCUGGGAAUGGCAUUGGUGACUGCACGGCUAGAGUGUGUCAGAGGGGGGUAGAAUUCCACGUGUGAGCAGUGAAAUGCGUAGAGAUGUGGAGGAACACCGAUGGCGAAGGCAGCCUCCUGGGCCAACACUGACGCUCAUGCACGAAAGCGUGGGGAGCAAACAGG
rnacentral:rRNA from 1 species